rnacentral:rRNA from 1 species
UACGUAGGGUGCAAGCGUUAAUCGGAAUUACUGGGCGUAAAGCGUGCGCAGGCGGUUUUGUAAGUCUGUCGUGAAAUCCCCGGGCUUAACCUGGGAAUUGCGAUGGAGACUGCAAGGCUAGAAUCUGGCAGAGGGGGGUAGAAUUCCACGUGUAGCAGUGAAAUGCGUAGAGAUGUGGAGGAACACCGAUGGCGAAGGCAGCCCCCUGGGUCAAGAUUGACGCUCAUGCACGAAAGGCGUGGGGAGCAACAGG